GACGAACGCUGGCGGCGUGCUUAACACAUGCAAGUCGAACGGAAAGGCCCUGCUUUUGUGGGGUGCUCGAGUGGCGAACGGGUGAGUAACACGUGAGUAACCUGCCCUUGACUUUGGGAUAACUUCAGGAAACUGGGGCUAAUACCGGAUAGGAGCUCCUGCUGCAUGGUGGGGGUUGGAAAGUUUCGGCGGUUGGGGAUGGACUCGCGGCUUAUCAGCUUGUUGGUGGGGUAGUUGCUUACCAAGGCUUUGACGGGUAGCCGGCCUGAGAGGGUGACCGGCAACAUUGGGACUGAGAUACGGACCAGACUCCAACGGGAGGCAGCAGUGGGGAAUAUUGCACAAUGGGAGGAAGCCUGAUGCAGCAACGCCGCGUGCGGGAUGACGGCCUUCGGGUUGUAAACCGCUUUCGCCUGUGACGAAGCGUGAGUGACGGUAAUGGGUAAAGAAGCACCGGCUAACUACGUG
rnacentral:rRNA from 1 species